CUAAGGGACGAAAGCGUGGGGAGCAAACAGGAUUAGAUACCCUGGUAGUCCACGCCGUAAACGAUGAUCAUUAGUUGGUGGCAAAAGUCACUAACACAGCUAACGCGUUAAAUGAUCCGCCUGAGUAGUAUGCUCGCAAGAGUGAAACUUAAAGGAAUUGACGGGAACCCGCACAAGCGGUGGAGCAUGUGGUUUAAUUUGAAGAUACGCGUAGAACCUUACCCACUCUUGACAUUCUCGCAAAACUAUAGAGAUAUAGCCGAGGCUAACGAGAUCACAGAUGGUGCAUGGUUGUCGUCAGCUCGUGUCGUGAGAUGUUAGGUUAAGUCCUGCAACGAGCGCAACCCUUUUCUUUAGUUGCUAACAUUUAGUUGAGAACCCUAAAGAUACUGCCGGCGCAAGCCGGAGGAAGGUGGGGACGACGUCAAAUCAUCAUGCCUCUUACGAGUGGGGCAACACACGUGCUACAAUGGCUACUACAAAGAGCAGCAAAACAGUGAUGUCAAGCUAAUCUCAAAAAAGUAGUCUCAGUUCGGAUUGAAGUCUGCAACUCGACUUCAUGAAGUCGGAAUCGCUAGUAAUCGCAGGUCAGCUAUACUGCGGUGAAUACGUUCUCGGGUUUUGUACACACCGCCCGUCACACCAUGGGAGUUGGUAAUGCCCAAAGUCGGUGAGUUAACUUCGGAGACCAUUGCCUAAGGCAGGACCGAUGACUGGGGUGAAGUCGUAACAAGGUAUCCCUACGAGAACGUGG
rnacentral:rRNA from 2 species